rnacentral:lncRNA from 1 species
CUUCAUGAAAGUAAAUAGAUGAGGCUGAUUGCCCCGAAGUCACUUCCUCGUUGACUUCGUUCAGGGCUCAGUUCAGCGCUCCCUGAACUGUCUGAGGAGCUGGAGUUGCUCCCUCCGCAGGCACGUUUCUGUCUGCAGGUUUAUCCUGUUCAGUAGGUCAGGGUUUGUUACUGACAACCAUGACCUGCUGUGAGCCCUUCUGCGAGUGUGGAGCUGGGGGGCAAGAAGGGCAGCCUUAGCUGUGCCAACGCUUCGUCCUGUCAGGGCAUUUGCACGCCAAAGGCAAAGAAGAAAAAAUGUCCAAAUCAUUAAAGAACUACAUUACUAUUAAGGACUUUCUGAAGACCUUUUCCCCCGAUGUCUUCCGGUUCUUCUGCCUGCGGAGCAGCUACCGCUCAGCCAUCGACUACAGUGACAGCGCCAUGCUCCAAGCUCAGCAGCUGCUCCUGGGGCUGGGCUCUUUCCUGGAGGACGCACGUGCCUACAUGAAGGGGCAGCUGGCCUGCGGCUCCGUCAGGGAAGCGAUGCUGUGGGAGAGGUAAGAGGCCCGCCUAGCACCCGGCGUGGCACCCCUCCUGUGGCCUGCUGGGUGCUGCUGGUGGGCUCUUGAAGGGGAAGAGGGGCCCCCAGGAGACAGGGCGCUGGACAGGAGGUUUGGGGUCAGGGACUGCCCAGAGAGGCCCCAGGAGACAGGGUGCUGGGCAGGAGGUGCAGGUGUGGGGUCAGGGGCUCCCCAGAGGCCACAGGGGACUGGGAGCUGGACAGGAGGUGUGGGGUCAGGGGCUCCC